AUACAAAUCAGUCAUAAUACCAAUUGGAAUUGAACAUCAGAAAAUCAAAACCGAUUUUCAAUUCUCAUCGUCCUCUCUACUUCGAACCAUCACCACCAUUCUCAAUCAGCCACCAUCUUCCACCACCACCGUCCAACACCGUCCACCACCACCAUUAUCUGCUGCCCAGCACCACCAUCUCAACCACGCAACACCACCUGUCCCCAGAAACACCGCACACCCACCGUCGUCCCUGCUCUCCUCCUCGCAACUUCGCACACCCUGCCCCCCCUUUUCGUCCCUUUUCUGCACCACCUAGCCACGCAGCCACCACUUUCCGCGACCUCAGCACCUCCUGAUUAAACCCCGCUUCCACCCCCACCAUCGAGCCACCACAGCCACCCCCCGAAACCACCACAUCAUCACACCAGAACCCCUGUUUUCCCCUGUUUUGCGCGACCACCUUCUCCCCCUCCUUGCUGUUCCGCCGCCGCAGAACCACCCCACCUCCGUCGCCUCUCCAGCGGCUCUGAUGCUGCUGCGCCGUCCAUAACCCGAGCCCAACGCCACCUUCUUCCUCCCUCAUCUCCUUUCUCUGUUUCUGCCCCCGCCCUCCUCUUCUUCGUGCCCUUGUUUCCUAAUAAAACGAGUUCCAGUAAUUGGAACUUUGUUCUUUUAUUCCCCAAAAGCCCAAACCUUUGUUUUGGCCCAAUAUAUAUAUCAAAAAAUUGGACUCGGGCUCAGGAAGGACGAUCCAUCAGACAGGGAGUAUAAAAACUACGGUUGAGGUAUUGCUGGGGACCACGGAAACGAGUAGUGGCGAGG